ACCUGGGUGGCUCAGUCGGUUGAGCGUCUGACUUCAGCUCAGGUCACGAUCUCACGGUUCGUGAGUUCGAGCCCCGCGUCAGGCU
rnacentral:tRNA from 1 species